AAGAGGAAUUUCAUAAGAGACUCUCGAAACCAUGAGUACCAGCUGGAGGUGAAUCAGAAGCGAAGAGAAAGCCAUGUGCUUUUUUUUCUCUUCUCAGGAAUGCACACUUGGAUUAAAAAUGUAAAUCUCACAGGGAAGUAAUAAACCGCCUACUCCACUAAGCUAGAAGAAGACCAACUUCACAUCAAUCAGAGACGACAGUUGUUUGAACGAAUUAGAUAUGGAUGAAGAAGACGACUACUGAGCAGUUGCUUCAGAAAAAUCAUUUGGAGCUUGGUCUUCUGGUAAUAUUUGUCAGAGUGCUUAAAACCCUUAGCAAAUAUGCAUAAUGAUGAGGGACAAAAUAAAACAUGGAUCUCUAUAUUCCGAUGAAGUGGUCAUCUGCUUUCAUGUUGUUGGUGUGGUGAUCUUGAUCUAUCAAGUUUGCCUUUUCACCGGGUAUGCUUUAUUACUACCUUCAAACUUAGAAUCACAAAAUGUUACUGUCUUAAUUGCUAUUUGUUAUUAGGACAACAAAAUGUCUGAAAUAUACACAUAAAAACAGUGACCUAUUGACAAGCUUCAAGUUUUCAAUGGCCG